UACCAGCACCCCGAGUGGUCGGGACGUUUAUUGGCCUAAGGCAAUCCGUAGCCGGUUCUACAAGUCUUCCGUUAAAUCCACCUGCUUAACAGAUGGGCUGCGGAAGAUACUAUAGAGCUAGGAGGCGGGAGAGGCAAGCGGUACUCGAUGGGUAGGGGUAAAAUCCGUUGAUCCAUUGAAGACCACCAGUGGCGAAGGCGGCUUGCCAGAACGCGCUCGACGGUGAGGGAUGAAAGCUGGGGGAGCAAACCGG
rnacentral:rRNA from 1 species